rnacentral:rRNA from 1 species
GAUCCUGGCUCAGGAUGAACGCUAGCUACAGGCUUAACACAUGCAAGUCGAGGGGCAGCAUGGUCUUAGCUUGCUAAGGCCGAUGGCGACCGGCGCACGGGUGAGUAACACGUAUCCAACCUGCCGUCUACUCUUGGACAGCCUUCUGAAAGGAAGAUUAAUACAAGAUGGCAUCAUGAGUCCGCAUGUUCACAUUAUAAGUAGUCGUCGAG